AUUGAACGCUGGCGGCAGGCCUAACACAUGCAAGUCGAGCGGAUGAAGGGAGCUUGCUCCUGGAUUCAGCGGCGGACGGGUGAGUAAUGCCUAGGAAUCUGCCUGGUAGUGGGGGAUAACGUCCGGAAACGGGCGCUAAUACCGCAUACGUCCUGAGGGAGAAAGUGGGGGAUCUUCGGACCUCACGCUAUCAGAUGAGCCUAGGUCGGAUUAGCUAGUUGGUGGGGUAAAGGCCUACCAAGGCGACGAUCCGUAACUGGUCUGAGAGGAUGAUCGGUCACACUGGAACUGAGACACGGUCCAGACUCCUACGGGAGGCAGCAGUGGGGAAUAUUGGACAAUAGGCGAAAGCCUGAUCCAGCCAUGCCGCGUGUGUGAAGAAGGUCUUCGGAUUGUAAAGCACUUUAAGUUGGGAGGAAGGGCAGUAAGUUAAUACCUUGCUGUUUUGACGUUACCAACAGAAUAAGCACCGGCUAACUUCGUG
rnacentral:rRNA from 1 species